rnacentral:rRNA from 1 species
AAAUUGAAGAGUUUGAUCAUGGCUCAGAUUGAACGCUGGCGGCAGGCCUAACACAUGCAAGUCGAACGGUAACAGGAAGCAGCUUGCUGCUUCGCUGACGAGUGGCGGACGGGUGAGUAAUGUCUGGGAAGCUGCCUGAUGGAGGGGGAUAACUACUGGAAACGGUAGCUAA